UACGGGGGGAGCAAGCGUUGUUCGGAUUUACUGGGCGUAAAGGGCGCGUAGGCGGUCAGCACAAGUCAGUUGUGAAAUCUCCGGGCUUAACUCGGAAAGGUCAACUGAUACUGUGCGACUAGAGUGCAGAAGGGGCAACUGGAAUUCUCGGUGUAGCGGUGAAAUGCGUAGAUAUCAGGAGGAACACCGGUGGCGAAGGCGGGUCUCUGGGCAACAACUGACGCUGAGGAGCGAAAGCGUGGGGAGCGAACAGG
rnacentral:rRNA from 1 species